rnacentral:rRNA from 1 species
UACGAAGGGGGCUAGCGUUGCUCGGAAUCACUGGGCGUAAAGGGUGCGUAGGCGGGUCUUUAAGUCAGGGGGGAAAUCCUGGAGCUCAACUCCAGAACUGCCUUUGAUACUGAAGAUCUUGAGUUCGGGAGAGGUGAGUGGAACUGCGAGUGUAGAGGUGAAAUUCGUAGAUAUCGGGAGGAACACCAGUGGCGAAGGCAGCGACCUGGGCCAAUAUUGACGCUGAGGUGCGAAAGCGUGGGGAGCAAACAGG